rnacentral:tRNA from 1 species
GGGGAUGUGGUUCAAGUGGUAGCGCGCUCACCUGGCAUGUGCGGGGCUCUGAGUUCAAUCCUCAGCACCACA